rnacentral:rRNA from 1 species
GUCGACGAUUUGGCGGACGGGUGAGUAACCUGCCCCCGAGAGCGGGAUGGCCCUGGGAAACUGGGAUUAAUACCGCAUAGUAUCGAAAGAUUAAAGCAGCAAUGCGCUUGGGGAUGGGCUCGCGGCCUAUUAGUUAGUUGGUGAGGUAACGGCUCACCAAGGCGAUGACGGGUAGCCGGUCUGAGAGGAUGUCCGGCCACACUGGAACUGAGACACGGUCCAGACACCUACGGGUGGCAGCAGUCGAGAAUCAUUCACAAUGGGGGAAACCCUGAUGGUGCGACGCCGCGUGGGGGAAUGAAGGUCUUCGGAUUGUAAACCCCUGUCAUGUGGGAGCAAAUUAAAAAGAUAGUACCACAAGAGGAAGAGACGGCUAACUCUGUGCCAGCAGCCGCGGUAAUAAUCUCUAGA